rnacentral:rRNA from 1 species
CGUAGGGGGCGAGCGUUGUCCGGAAUCAUUGGGCGUAAAGCGCGCGUAGGCGGCCCGGUAAGUCCGCUCUGAAAGUCCAGGGCUCAACCCUGGAAAGCGGGUGGAUACUGCCGGGCUAGAGUCCGGAAGAGGCGAGUGGAAUUCCUGGUGUAGCGGUGGAAUGCGCAGAUAUCAGGAGGAACACCAAUAGCGAAGGCAGCUCGCUGGGACGGUACUGACGCUGAGGCGCGAAAGCGUGGGGAGCAAACAGGAUUAGAUACCCUGGUAGUCCACGCCGUAAACGAUGGGCACUAGGUGUGGGAGGUGUCGACUCCUCCCGUGCCGACGCUAACGCAUUAAGUGCCCCGCCUGGGGAGUACGGCCGCAAGGCUA